rnacentral:rRNA from 1 species
UACGGGGGGGGCAAGCGUUGUUCGGAAUUACUGGGCGUAAAGGGCUCGUAGGUGGCCAACUAAGUCAGACGUGAAAUCCCUCGGCUUAACCGGGGAACUGCGUCUGAUACUGGAUGGCUUGAGUUUGGGAGAGGGACGCGGAAUUCCCGGUGUAGCGGUGAAAUGUGUAGAGAUCGGGAGGAACACCGGUGGCGAAGGCGGGUCUCUGGGCAUCUCCUGACGCUGAGGCGCGAAAGCGUGGGGAGCAAACGGG